UGCGGUGUAGUGAAACGGUAUCACAGAGGACUUUGGAUCCUUUGUUCCAGGUUCGAAUCCUGGCACCGCAGCCG
rnacentral:tRNA from 1 species